rnacentral:lncRNA from 1 species
GAUGUUUGAAGAAAUCCUGUAGUUGAUCUCAUUGCAAAGUCCUUUUAGAGUGGUAAAAAUAGUUUGUUUGUUUUUUUUUUCCAGAAAUUAGGUUUUCUUAGACUAAAACUUCUUGGAAGUGGGGGCAUAUCAUGUUCCUGUAUAUUGCCUACAGACACUGAAAUUAGAAACACGGCUCGAAUUAUGCUUGCACUGAACAAGGCUAGUCUGAGAAGUGAGAAGGAGAAGUGAGAUGCUGAGCAUCAAGCUGGGCAGAGUUGUCAUGUUGUGAUCUGAGAUUCUGUCCUGUUCUUCAGGAUUUAAGGAGUCGCUAAUCAAUGCCAAGCAUGGGCUCAUCGGGUGCAGCUGGGGAGGCAAUUACUUCAACUCAGGAGUUUUCGAAAACUUUCCUUAUGCCUGUUCACA